CCAUGACGCGGGAGCUUGGACUCGCUGCCCAUACCCGGCCGCCGGGGCAGGGCUGAGCCACUGGCGGGACCGACCGCGAGCCGG
rnacentral:ncRNA from 1 species